UUUUUUCUUUUUUUCUUCUUUGUUUCUUCCUUUUUCCUUCCUUUUUCUUUUUUCUCUUUUCCUGUACUUUUUUUUUUCUUCCAUCUUUCCCGUAACUCCUUUUCUUUUCUUUCCUUUCUUUUUCUUCUUCUUUUUUUUCUCUCUCUCUCUCUCUUCUUUCUCUCUCUACCCGACCUUGAUUUUUCUCUGUCUUCUUCUCUUCUCUUUUUUCUUUUCCUUUCUUCUUCUCUUCUUCUUCUUCUUCUUCUUCUUUCUUUUCUUUUUCUUCUUCCUCUUCUUCCCGCGACAUCUCCCCUUCCGUUGUAUCCCACCUUCGCGACUGCUGCUCACUCCUCCUCCUCAUGCAACUUAGGUUCCUCCCCUCACUCCGCUCGCUCAGCCUCGAUCCUCACUCAGCUCGAUCUCCUCUCUCACCCACUUGAACUCAUCUCUCUUCCUCUCUUCCUCUUUUUUUUCUCUUCUGCUAUUUCAAUAUAUAUAUAUAUACAUAUUUUUGCCUUAUUGUUUGUUCUCCUUCUCUCUACAUUCUUUUUUUCUAAUUAAUUAAUAUGUAUUAUAUUUUUUUUUCUUUUAUACCCAGCUGGUGCACCAGCUGGGUAUUACAGUCGAGAGGAAGAAAGAAUGAGAGGAAAGAAAGAGGGAGUUUGGAAAGAGGAAAGGAAAGGAGAGAAAAAGAGGAAAGAGAAAAAAAAUUGGAGUGGCCGAGCGAAAAAGAGAAGGGGAGCCAAAGAGCGGCUGUGAAAGGGAGGAAGAAAAUAAGAGAGGGGCGGAGGUGGGAGAGGGUAGAAGUCGAACCAAAAGGAAGAAGAAAGAAGAGGGAAUGGCCCGAGACGCUGUGUGACGGUGGAGACCGAGGCAAACAAGGUAAAGGUUCGUUCUUUUCCUCUUCUUUUUCCUUAUUUUCCCUUUAAUCUAUUUCUAUUUUACACUAACUGAUUUUUAGGUGUAAAAAUCAUCAUUCCAAUCGCAAGCACGCAAACGAGCCAUAAGGUGACCAAAAGGAGGUGACUGUGAGCCAAGUUGAUACCAAAUCGCCCACGCUGAAAGGUAAACAGUUUUUUCAUGUUUUGAUGGUGGUUGAGCGGCGAUGUGGCAGGGUUGGUGUCGGGUUAGCUACGCAGGCUCGGUCGGGCCACCCACCUGUAUAGGAACUGAGGAGGUUUCCUUGAGAAUGGGGAAAUCCAACUGAUGCGGGAAGCCAAAGGGUGUUCCCAAAGAAUGAGAACCCGAUCUACCAUUUUGGGAUUCUGAUUUGCUGUUCGAGAAGCUGAAAAGUUUUCAUCAGGAAACGAAAAUUUGAUUCACUGUUCGAAAAGUUGAAAAGUCUUUCUCGAAAAAUGUGAAUUUGAUUCACCGAACGGGAAAAAGAAAGGUUUUUCAUAUACGGAUCCCGAUAGUUUUGGGAAUUCCGUUGGGUAAUCAUUGGAAUUUAUAAUUUAAUUAAAUUAAUUUUUAGUAUUUCAAAGUAUUUUAAUUAAUUAUGUCGUGUAUAUAGAAAAAUUUGGACAUUUAGGUGAAUUCAGAAAGAUGUGUUGGAGUGUAAGUAUUUUUAAAUCUCAACCGGGUUGAAUUUCAAAAUGUGCAUUCAUUUUAUAAAAAUUAUGAAUUUUGAAAUUUAAACAGAUGUCGGUCCAAUUUCGAUGAAAAAAUAGAACUAAAAUUAUGAUCAAUAAACCUAAGCAAUUAGAACUCUAUGAGAAGAUGAAACUAGAAAACAGACCCAAUUGACUGAGAAUUAUUUGAACUGAGUUAUUUGAACUGAUGAAAUAUGAAAUUGAAAAAGAAAAUUCCUAAUUAAGGAAAAUUUGA
rnacentral:lncRNA from 1 species